GAUGAACGCUGGCGGCGUGCUUAACACAUGCAAGUCGAACGGUGAAGCCAAGCUUGCUUGGUGGAUCAGUGGCGAACGGGUGAGUAACACGUGAGCAACCUGCCCUGGACUCUGGGAUAAGCGCUGGAAACGGCGUCUAAUACUGGAUAUGAGCCUCUUCCGCAUGGUGGGGGUUGGAAAGAUUUUUUGGUCUGGGAUGGGCUCGCGGCCUAUCCGCUUGUUGGUGAGGUAAUGGCUCACGAAGGCGUCGACGGGUAGCCGGCCUGAGAGGGUGACCGGCCACACUGGGACUGAGACACGGCCCAGACUCCUACGGGAGGCAGCAGUGGGGAAUAUUGCACAAUGGGCGAAAGCCUGAUGCAGCAACGCCGCGUGAGGGAUGACGGCCUUCGGGUUGUAAACCUCUUUUAGCAGGGAAGAAGCGAAAGUGACGGUACCUGCAGAAAAAGCGCCGGCUAACUACGUG
rnacentral:rRNA from 1 species